rnacentral:misc_RNA from 1 species
UCAAACUUGGUCAUUUAGAGGAAGUAAAAGUCGUAACAAGGUCUCCGUUGGUGAACCAGCGGAGGGAUCAUUACAGGAAUUAAUCGUCUAGUAGGCAAGAGGAAACUCUGGCCGAACAACGUUUCACCCCAGUGAACAAUACCCUUUUUAUAGGCGUCCUAGGUUGCGCCGGCUGGCUCUCCAAUGCGCGAAAGCGCUGUGAAGCCGCCGGGGCGUCUAGAACACCCACUAAACUCAUCAAGUCACCGUAAGGAUACUUCUGAUUUUUCUUGAGAUAAAUAGCUGAAAACUUUCAACAACGGAUCUCUUGGCUCUAGCAUCGAUGAAGAACGCAGC